rnacentral:rRNA from 1 species
AUGGCAGAAGCCUUAGCUCUCAAAUUUGGCCUAACACUAGCACAAAGGGCGGGGUGUAAUCACCUUAUCAUUAAUUCAGACAACCUGGAAGUAAUUGACACUAUGCAGGACGGAGGACAGUCGGCGGGUAUGGCCGCAGCAAUUUUCGAUGAUUGUUUUCACUAUGUCUGUGAUUUUGUUACAACUAGAUUCGAACAUUGUAAUAGAGAGCUCGCUAAAUUAGCUCAUGAGCUCGCUAAAUUAGCUAGAUUUUCUUCUACUUCGGAUUGGUUCGAGGAGCCUCCAAAUGAAAUUGUAAUGAUCAUCACAAACGAUGUACUGAUUAUUUCUAAUAAAUAA